UACGUAGGGUGCGAGCGUUGUCCGGAAUCAUUGGGCGUAAAGCGCGUGUAGGCGGUCCGGUAAGUCCGCUGUGAAAGUCGGGGGGCUCAACCCUCGGAUGCCGGUGGAUACUGUCGGGCUUGAGUACGGAAGAGGCGAGUGGAAUUCCUGGUGUAGCGGUGAAAUGCGCAGAUAUCAGGAGGAACACCGGUGGCGAAGGCGGGUCUCUGGGCCGUACUGACGCUGAGGAGCGAAAGCGUGGGGAGCAACAGG
rnacentral:rRNA from 1 species